rnacentral:sRNA from 1 species
GUGGCAGCUGAGCAGGUGACCAGCCUCUACUCCCCAUAGCUCACCCCUUAACUACACACUCUUGCGCCUGCUCUCUCUUCUCUCUCUUAGACCAAGACCUUGGACAAGGCAGGGGUGCUCCAUCGCACCAAGACGGCAGACAAGGGAAAGCGGCUCCGGAAGAAGCACUGGAGUGCCUCCUGGACUGUGCUGGAGGGUGGCGUCCUGACAUUCUUCAAGGACUCAAAGACCUCGGCUGCAGGCGGCCUGAGGCAGCCUUCCAAGUUUUCCACCCCUGAGUACACAGUGGAGCUGAGGGGGGCCACUCUCUCCUGGGCCCCCAAAGACAAAUCCAGUAGGAAGAAUGUGCUGGAGCUCCAUGAACAUGGGAUCUAGAAGCACAUGCCAGGUACCCUGCAAAACAGCUCCAGGAAGGUUUAAUUCAGGAUCCGGGACUGCUUCAGCUACGGAGCCGAGAUGGCUCCGAGUACCUGAUCCAGCACGACUCGGAGGCCAUCAUCAGCACCUGGCAUAAGGCCAUUGCUCA